rnacentral:rRNA from 1 species
UGCCAGCCGCCGCGGUAAUACGGAGGGUGCAAGCGUUGUUCGGAAUUAUUGGGCGUAAAGCGCGUGUAGGCGGUUGUUUAAGUCUGAUGUGAAAGCCCGGGGCUCAACCCCGGAAGUGCAUUGGAAACUGGGCAACUUGAGUACGGGAGAGGAAAGUGGAAUUCCGAGUGUAGGGGUGAAAUCCGUAGAUAUUCGGAGGAACACCAGUGGCGAAGGCGGCUCACUGGCUCGAUACUGACGCUGAGGUGCGAAAGCGUGGGGAGCGAACGGGAUUAGAUA